UACGUAGGUGGCGAGCGUGUCCGGAUUUAUUGGGCGUAAAGCGCCCGCAGGCGGCUUGAUAAGUUUCAGGUGAAAUCUCCCGGCUUAACUGGGAGGGGUCCUGGAAAACUGUCAGGCUUGAGGCAGAGAGAGGGAUGUGGAAUUCCCGGUGUAGUAGUGAAAUGCAUAGAUAUCGGGAGGAACACCAGUGGCGAAGGCGGCAUCCUGGCUCUGUCCUGACGCUCAGGGGCGAAAGCGUGGGGAGCAAACCGG
rnacentral:rRNA from 1 species